UGGAGGCAGCAGUGGGGAAUUUUGCGCAAUGGGCGAAAGCCUGACGCAGCGACGCCGCGUGGAGGAUGAAGGCCCUUGGGUUGUAAACUCCUGUCAGGUGGGAAGAAAGAUCUUCGGUAAACAGCCGAGGAUUCUGACUGUACCACCGGAGGAAGCACCGGCUAACUACGUGCCAGCAGCCGCGGUAAUACGUAGGGUGCGAGCGUUAAUCGGAAUUACUGGGCGUAAAGCGUGCGCAGGCGGUUUGGUAAGACAGACGUGAAAUCCCCGGGCUUAACCUGGGAACUGCGUUUGUGACUGCCAGACUAGAGUGUAGCAGAGGGGGGUAGAAUUCCACGUGUAGCAGUGAAAUGCGUAGAGAUGUGGAGGAAUACCGAUGGCGAAGGCAGCCCCCUGGGCUAACACUGACGCUCAUGCACGAAAGCGUGGGGAGCAAACAGGAUUAGAUACCCGCGUAGUCCC
rnacentral:rRNA from 1 species